GAAUUUUGGACAAUGGGCGAAAGCCUGAUCCAGCAAUGCCGCGUGCAGGAUGAAGGCCUUCGGGUUGUAAACUGCUUUUGUACGGAACGAAAAGCUUUGGGUUAAUACACUGGAGUCAGGCCGGUACCGUAAGAAUAAGCACAGGCUAACUACGUUCCAGGCGCCGCGGUAAUACGUAGGGUGCAAGCGUGAAUCGGAAUUACUGUGCGUGAAGCGUGCGCUGGCGGUUUUGUAAGACAGAGGUGAAAGCCCCGGGCUCAACCUGGGAACUGCCUUUGUGACUGCAAGGCUAGAGUACGGCAGAGGGGGGUGGAAUUCCGCGUGUAGCAGUGAAAUGCGUAGAUAUGCGGAGGAACACCGAUGGCGAAGGCAACCCCCUGGGCCUGUACUGACGCUCAUGCACGCAAGCGUGGGGAGCAAACAGG
rnacentral:rRNA from 1 species